rnacentral:rRNA from 1 species
AACGAACGCUGGCGGCAGGCUUAACACAUGCAAGUCGAGGGGCAGCAGGACUGUAGCAAUACAGUUGCUGGCGACCGGCAAACGGGUGCGGAACACGUACGCAAUCUACCCGAAACUGGGGCAUAGCCCGGGGAAACCCGGAUUAAUACCCCGUAACACUUUGAAGUGGCAUCACUUUAUAGUUAUAGCUCCGGAGGUUUUGGAUGAGCGUGCGGCUGAUUAGGUAGAUGGCGGGGUAACGGCCCACCAAGCCUAGGAUCAGUAACUGGUGUGAGAGCACGACCAGUCACACGGGCACUGAGACACGGGCCCGACUCCUACGGGAGGCAGCAGUAAGGAAUAUUGGUCAAUGGACGCAAGUCUGAACCAGCCAUGCCGCGUGGAGGAUGAAGGCCCUCUGGGUUGUAAACUUCUUUUAUAGGGGACGAAACCUCUUUUUCUUGAGAGACUGACGGUACCCUAGGAAUAAGCACCGGCUAACUCCGUGCCAGCAGCCGCCGUAAAAC